UGAUGGCUAACGUGGGCAAGG
rnacentral:piRNA from 1 species